rnacentral:rRNA from 1 species
AGGAAGCUUCUAAUCAGAAUGUCUACAUUUUAAGAUUAGAUCUCAAAUCAGGUAGGACUACCCGCUGAACUUAAGCAUAUCAAUAAGCGGAGGAAAAGAAACUAACAAGGAUUCCCCUAGUAGCGGCGAGCGAAGCGGGAAGAGCUCAAAUUUAUAAUCUGGCACCUUCGGUGUCCGAGUUGUAAUCUCUAGAAAUGUUUUCCGCGUUGGACCGCACACAAGUCUGUUGGAAUACAGCGGCAUAGUGGUGAGACCCCCGUAUAUGGUGCGGACGCCCAGCGCUUUGUGAUACAUUUUCGAAGAGUCGAGUUGUUUGGGAAUGCAGCUCAAAUUGGGUGGUAAAUUCCAUCUAAAGCUAAAUAUUGGCGAGAGACCGAUAGCGAACAAGUACCGUGAGGGAAAGAUGAAAAGCACUUUGGAAAGAGAGUUAACAGUACGUGAAAUUGUUGGAAGGGAAACGCUUGAAGUCAGACUUGCUUGCCGAGCAAUCGGUUUGCAGGCCAGCAUCAGUUUUCCGGGAUGGAUAAUGGUAGAGAGAAGGUAGCAGUUUCGGCUGUGUUAUAGCUCUCUGCUGGAUACAUCUUGGGGGACUGAGGAACGCAGUGUGCCUUUGGCGGGGGUUUCGACCUCUUCACACUUAGGAUGCUGGUGGAAUGGCUUUAAACG